rnacentral:rRNA from 1 species
AACGAACGCUGGCGGCAGGCCUAACACAUGCAAGUCGAGCGAGGACUUCGGUCCUAGCGGCGGACGGGUGAGUAACGCGUGGGAACGUGCCCUUUGCUUCGGAAUAGCCCUGGGAAACUGGGAGUAAUACCGGAUGAGCCCUUUGGGGGAAAGAUUUAUCGGCGAAGGAUCGGCCCGCGUUGGAUUAGGUAGUUGGUGGGGUAAUGGCCUACCAAGCCGACGAUCCAUAGCUGGUUUGAGAGGAUGAUCAGCCACACUGGGACUGAGACACGGCCCAGACUCCUACGGGAGGCAGCAGUGGGGAAUCUUAGACAAUGGGGGAAACCCUGAUCUAGCCAUGCCGCGUGAGCGAUGAAGGCCUUAGGGUUGUAAAGCUCUUUCAGCUGGGAAGAUAAUGACGGUACCAGCAGAAGAAGCCCCGGUUAACUCCGUG